rnacentral:rRNA from 1 species
UACGUAGGGUGCAAGCGUUGUCCGGAAUUAUUGGGCGUAAAGAGCUCGUAGGCGGUCUGUCGCGUCUGCUGUGAAAACCUGGGGCUUAACCCCGGGCCUGCAGUGGGUACGGGCAGACUAGAGUGCGGUAGGGGAGACUGGAAUUCCUGGUGUAGCGGUGAAAUGCGCAGAUAUCAGGAGGAACACCGGUGGCGAAGGCGGGCCUCUGGGCCGUAACUGACGCUGAGGAGCGAAAGCAUGGGGAGCGAACAGG